rnacentral:lncRNA from 1 species
GAAAUGCAGUUACUUCUGCUUACUGUAGACCCUAUGUACACAGGGCACCUGUGCUUUAUGCAUAGAUUGCUGGCUAGGUUUCUACUUCCCCAGGAAAGUACCCUGUGAGGUCGUCUCUGUGAGGCAUUGAGCUGCUGAUGCCCCCCCCCCCUGCAAAGCAUGUGCUGGAGAGAGAGAGAGAGAGAACUGCAUUCUUGCUGAUCAAUUUCAGCUGCAAGGGCACCAGAGAUAUAAGUUCCCAUCACGACUGACUGCAGGCCAUGAUGGCAAUUUAAAGCAGGAGCUGAGUUCGGAUUCUCAAUCCCCAUUGGAUGAACUGGACCAUAAGGAACCAUCCUGAUACAUUCUCCUGUACUCAAAAGAUAAAAAAU